UGAAUACGAGAUGCUACGGCGUCGAAGCAGUGUAUGUCAGACUUCCAAGAAAAGCUCGCAAUGUCAUAAAUAAAGAAUGCCUGUACCAUAACCGACACAGGUGGGUAGGUAGAGUAUACUAAGGGGCGCGAGAUAACUCUCUCUAAGGAACUCGGCAAAAUAACUCCGUAACUUCGGGAGAAGGAGUGCCUUCUUUAAGAAGGUUGCAAUAACAAGAUCCAAGCAACUGUUUAUCAAAAACACAGGUCUCCGCUAAGUCGUAAGACGAUGUAUGGGGGCUGACGCCUGCCCAGUGCCAGAAGGUUAAAGAAGUUGGUUAGCUUUUGCGAAGCUGAUGACUGAAGCCCUGGUGAACGGCGGCCGUAACAAUAACGGUCCUAAGGUAGCGAAAUUCCUUGUCGGGUAAGUUCCGACCCGCACGAAAGGCGUAAUGAUUUGGAUGCUGUCUCGGAGAGGGACUCGGUGAAAUAGACUUGUCUGUGAAGAUGCGGACUACCUGCACCAGGACAGAAAGACCCUAUGAAGCUUUACUGUAACUUGAAAUUGAAAUUGGACUUUAUUUGCGCAGUAUAGGUGGAAGGCGUUGAAAGUAAUCUUGCGGGAUUAGUGGAGCCAUCAGUGAGAUACCACUCCUAUAAUGUUAGAUUUCUAACUUUGGAUCAUGAUCUGGUCAAAGAACAGUUUCAGGCGGGCAGUUUGACUGGGGCGGUCGCCUCCCAAAUGGUAACGGAGGCGUACAAAGGUUUCCUCUGAACGGGUAGAAAUCGUAUCUAGAGUGUAAAGGCAUAAGGAAGCUUGACUGUGAGACCUACAAGUCGAGCAGGGACGAAAGUCGGUCUUAGUGAUCUGACGGUGCUGAGUGGAAAGGCCGUCACUCAACGGAUAAAAGUUACUCUAGGAUAACAGGCUGAUCUCCCCCAAGAGUUCACAUCGACGGGGAGGUUUGGCACCUCGAUGUCGGCUCAUCGCAUCCUGGGGCGGUAGUACGUCCCAAGGGUUGGGCUGUUCGCCCAUGAAAGCGGUACGCGAGCUGGGUUCAGAACGUCGUGAGACAGUUCGGUCCAUAUCCGGUGUAGGCGUUAGAAUAUUGAGAGGAGCCUUCUUUAGUACGAGAGGACCGAGAAGGACAUACCUCUGGUGUACCAGUUAUCGUGCCAACGGUAAACGCUGGGUAGCUAUGUAUGGAGAGGAUAACCGCUGAAAGCAUCUAAGUGGGAAGCCCACCUCAAGAU
rnacentral:rRNA from 1 species